UACGUAGGGUGCAAGCGUUGUCCGGAAUUAUUGGGCGUAAAGAGCUCGUAGGCGGUCUGUCGCGUCGGCUGUGAAAACCCGGAGCUCAACUCCGGGCCUGCAGUCGAUACGGGCAGACUGGAGUUCGGCAGGGGAGACUGGAAUUCCUGCUGUAGCGGUGAAAUGCGCAGAUAUCAGGAGGAACACCGGUGGCGAAGGCGGGUCUCUGGGCCGUUACUGACGCUGAGGAGCGAAAGCGUGGGGAGCGAACAGG
rnacentral:rRNA from 1 species